CACAGACAGACAGACCUCUCACAGUCUAGGAGACCCACCCCUGAAUGAUCCAGAACAUACCUUGGGCUUCUGAAGGUGCCAUGGGCUCCAGGCUGCCCUGCCUGCUAGUCUUUUGUCUCCUAGGAGCAGGACCAGCCGACUCUGGAGUGAUACAAGACCCCCAGCACCUGAUCCAAGUCCAAGGCCAGCGGGCCACGCUGAAAUGCACCCCCAUCUCCGGGCACCUCUAUGUGUCCUGGUACCAGCAGACCCCUGGCCAGGGCCUGAGAUUCCUGCUGUCGUAUUACAACAAGGAACUGAGACAGAAGGGGGACGACCUGAGUGCUCGCUUCUCGGCACAGCAGUUCUCCAACUCCAGCUUGUGGCUCAGCAUCAGCAGCUUGGAGCCUGGGGACUCGGCCCGGUUUCUCUGCGCCAGCAGUGAGCACAGCUGCGCAGGGCCGCCAGCCUGCGGUACCCAAACGUCCUGUCCCCGAGCGCGAGGGGACGCAGGUGCCCCGUGCCAGCCAGAGCUGCCUGCGGCGCCCUGGCGGGCCACGGGGGCCUUCCCCAGACUCUUGCUGCUGCUUACAGCUGCGAUCGGCUCAAUGCUCACAGAAUUCUCACAGGGGAGCAGAAUCAGCAACUCAUCCCCACACCUGCUGGCUCCAGUGAACUCGUUUACUAGAAGUAAAUUACCCAGGAGUUAACUGUUUAGACGACUGGCACUUGGACCGUCUAACAACAUUAGGAGCGUUAGAAAGCAGUGAUGGCCAUGAAUACCUCCUCCUGAUUCCCAUUCCAGUGCUAGCUCAUCGAGACCAUGGUUAGCUGUUUUCCCAUCAAUUAAAAUGAGAUUAACAAUAUCCAUCUGUAUAAGUCAGAGUUCUUUAGAGAAACAGAACAUAUAGAAUCUAUCUGUCCGAUUAUCUAUCUCCAUUAUCAAUCAAUCUCUAUAACUCUUCCUAUAUCUAUCCAUCUAUCAUCUAUUAUUUUUCACCUGUUAAUCUGUGUAUCUUUUUCUCCCUAUAUUUUUCUGUCAUUUAUCAAUCUAUUAUCUAAUCUAUAUAAUUAUGUAUCUAUCCUCUAUCCUCUAGAAAUCUUCUACCAAUAUAUAAAUCAUCUAUCAUUUAUCAAUCUAUCCAUUAUCUAAUUAUAUAUUUAUCUGUAUAUCUACUAUCUCUCUAGCAUUGAUAAAUAAGUCUAGUAUCUUUCUCCCUAUAUUCAUCUAUUUUCUUCCUGCUCUCUAUCAAUCAUCUGUCUAUCUCUGUCAUUUAUGGAAUCUCUGUAUCUCUAUCUUAUACCAAUUUCUGUAUCUAUUUCUCGUUACAUCCAUGUAUGUAUGUAUGUAUGUAUCUUCAUCAUCAUCAUUAUCAUUCACUGACUGAUCUUCCUUCUGAAGGAUACAGUCAGUACUCCCACAGGAAGGAGCAGUGGGUAUUUUUACGAGCACCCAGGGAACACCAAAGCCUAUCUACCGUGGGAGAAAUGAGGAAAAAGAUCCUUGGAACUGCAAGCUUGCAUUUGGAUUGACACACAGGGCAGUGAGGUUAAUUAUAACCCAGUUCUUAGUGCCCUGGCAGCUCCGUUCUUUUGAAGAACUUGUCAGCACCAGACUGACCUUAGUUCCUGCCACACUUUGGCCUGUUCCAAAACUAUCUCUUCUUUCCCUGCUGUUCACUGAAGUGUACUGUUCAAGGAUUAUUCAUGUAGUGUUGAAUUCCAUGAUUAUCUUAGGUAUACCCAGCCUUGUGUUCCCCAGCGCUGCUCUUUCUAUGAUGGCUUAUUGUUGUAGGAUACCAUUUAGUUUUCUUAUAGGCAUGUUUUCAGUAUUUUGCCCACAUAUUUAACCCACUUAUAAUGUUAUCUCUCAGUCUUUCAUUGACUUAUAAUUUUGGAGUAACAUUGUUGGUUUCUAUUUUGUUCUUGUUUCCUCUUAGUGACAGAGAAUAAAGUA